rnacentral:rRNA from 1 species
UCAUCGAAUCUUUGAACGCACAUUGCGCCCCUUGGUAUUCCGGGGGGCAUGCCUGUUCGAGCGUCAUUU